rnacentral:rRNA from 1 species
UACGAAGGGGGCUAGCGUUGCUCGGAAUUACUGGGCGUAAAGCGCACGUAGGCGGAUUGUUAAGUCGGGGGUGAAAUCCUGGAGCUCAACUCCAGAACUGCCUUCGAUACUGGCGAUCUCGAGUCGGGAGAGGUGAGUGGAACUGCGAGUGUAGAGGUGAAAUUCGUAGAUAUUCGCAAGAACACCAGUGGCGAAAGGCGGCCAACUGGACCAAUACUGACGCUGAGGCGCGAAAGCGUGGGGAGCAAACAGG